CGUCACCGUUCUAGCGCUGCGGAGGCUGAACGUCGAAACCGAAACCCCCUUUGCGAGAUUCGCUGCAUCUAUACCUAAUUUGCGUUCAAAAAUGCCUGCUUAAUUAUUUCAUAGUAGGAGCAAACAUGCCUUAAGAAAAGGAGUAGGUUUGAAACUUUAGUAACCAUAAAAAGUACGCCAGGUGGAUGCCUUUCUACUCCAGGAAGCCGCAGCCUACGGCCUGAAGGAGGAAGAGGACGCGGUCAGUUUGAAAUAGCUGUUGUGAUAGAGCUGGACCUGUAGACAAGGGAACUAACACAUUUGAGGAAAAAAGAAUCCAAAAUAAGAGAUUGGUGUGUGUGGUGAGGGUAAAGAAGUCCACAUGCAGCAGCAUCUUGGAAAUGCUGUAAUGCAGGGGUGCCCAAACUCAGUUCUGGACAGCUGGUGUCCUGCAGAGUUUAGAGUCAACUUCAACUAAACUCUGCAAGAC